GAGGGUAUAGCUCAGUGGUAGGACGCAUGCUUAGCAUGCACAAGGUCCUGGGUUCAAUCCCCAGUAACUCCA
rnacentral:tRNA from 1 species